rnacentral:rRNA from 1 species
AUUGAACGCUGGCGGAAUGCUUUACACAUGCAAGUCGAACGGCAGCACGGGGGCAACCCUGGUGGCGAGUGGCGAACGGGUGAGUAAUACAUCGGAACGUGCCCAGUCGUGGGGGAUAACGUAGCGUAAGUUACGCUAAUACCGCAUACGAUCUACGGAUGAAAGCGGGGGACCGUAAGGCCUCGCGCGAUUGGAGCGGCCGAUGUCAGAUUAGGUAGUUGGUGAGGUAAAGGCUCACCAAGCCGACGAUCUGUAGCUGGUCUGAGAGGACGACCAGCCACACUGGGACUGGGACACGGCCCAGACUCCGACGGGAGGCAGCAGUGGGGAAUUUUGGACAAUGGGCGCAAGCCUGAUCCAGCCAUUCCGCGUGCAGGACGAAGGCCUUCGGGUUGUAAACUGCUUUUGUACGGAACGAAAAGGCUCUGGUUAAUACCUGGGGCUCAUGACGGUACCGUAAGAAUAAGCACCGGCUAACUACGUGCCAGCCGCCGCCGUAA